GAUGAUACGCGGGGUCAGCAUUCUACACAACUACGCAGCCUAUUGUUGUUACACCGGUGUGCUCGCUUCCACGCAUAUUUGAAGCACUUCCAACCCCAUCACCAUCACCCAGUGUCAGGUUGGAUGUGUGUGUAGUGUUCGCUCUACUUACGUCCAUUAGCUUCCACAGUACAAUAAGCAGCUCCAUUGGAGCAGCUCCUGUCAAAGUAGGCGAGGCAAGCAGCAGAGCUAACGAAACAUACAUUUUAACCCCGGGAGUUGGUUUAGUCCCGCCGUGGGACAAAGUGUUUUUCAGUCGUAGCCUAAGAAGAAAACAAUCACAUGUGCAAAAACAAACAGGAUACAAUGGUGUAAGAAAAAUGGAUUUCAUCCAUACCGAAAGUGAAAAGGAUGAAAAAAUGUGCUGGGUGUGCGAAAGAAAGUGUCAAGACAAAUUUAAUCCGCCAGUCUACGCUAGGCAGAUAUGGAGAUGAUCAUCCAGGUGUCAACUGCUGACAACCGUCGCAGCUGAACAACACGCUACUUCCAUUGAACGCUAUCGGAAGCUGAAGAACUGAUUGAAGUUAUUCCUUUCUUCCCGUUGUUGCCAUGUGGUUGGCAUAUUAUUGCGUAUCGACUCUCUUUGCAUCGAAUGAGCAGUGGCAAGAAUUGACUUACACAAGACGCACGUGCUCCUAAACCUCCUCACAACAUCUGUAAAUGGCAUGGUCUCUCUUCUGCAGCUUCAAAUUGCGACGACGAGGCUUUAACGCAACGAGGCCAAUCAUUUUGCGCAAGAUAAACAUUUCCGACGGAAGAGUGCAGCCGAAAUCGAUGGUCGAAGGCAUGGCAGGGAAGUAAAGCGUACAGCGUAACAAGCUUUGGGAAAAUAAUCUUCCUCUGGCUGGUGUCCCCCACUACCCUCGGGGGAACUCAGCAUUCCGGGGGGAGAACCAGCAACGAAAUGGUGUACGCCGUACCGUAUUGACAUUUCGUUGAAAUAUUGACGCCGUUGCUGGGGAAAAGGAAGGCAACGGCUAGAAGUGGUAGCAACGCAUGUGUACGCAUCGUUGGGUUCAUUGUAAAACAUGCCCUGUGUUCCUUUGGGAGUGUAAAUGGGUUUGGUUUUUUGUCGUUUUACAUGUACUGCGUUUUAUUUUUCGCUCCCAAUAUGUAAUGGAUUGCCAAAACAAUGUGAA